GGGCGCUUACACAUGCAAGUCGAGCGAGAAAGGGGCAACCUGAGUAAAGCGGCGUACGGGUGAGUAACACGUGGGUAAUCUACCUUUUAGUGGGGAAUAACCCUGGGAAACCGGGGCUAAUACCGCAUAAUCCUGUGAGGGGAAAGCAGCAAUGCGCUGAAAGAGGAGCCCGCGGCCGAUUAGCUAGUUGGUGAGGUAACGGCCCACCAAGGCGGUGAUCGGUAGCCGGCCUGAGAGGGCACACGGCCACACUGGCACUGAAACACGGGCCAGACUCCUACGGGAGGCAGCAGUGGGGAAUCUUGCACAAUGGAGGAAACUCUGAUGCAGCGACGCCGCGUGAGCGAUGAAGCCCUUCGGGGUGUAAAGCUCUUUCGGCAGGGACGAUAAUGACGGUACCUGAAGAAGAAGCUGCGGCUAACUACGUGCCAGCAGCCGCGGUAAUACGUAGGCAGCGAGCGUUGUUCGGAAUUACUGGGCGUAAAGAGUGUGUAGGCGGUGCUCUAAGUUCGGUGUGAAAUCUCCCGGCUCAACUGGGAGGGUGCGCCGGAAACUGGAGU
rnacentral:rRNA from 1 species